GGAUGUGCGGGCAAUCUGGCUGCGACGCCUGUCACCCCAUGGAUCUCCAAGGCUGACUCAGCUGACCUGGCUGUGAGGCGGGUGUCCCCAUCCUCCCUCACCGGUCCAUGUGCAUCCCCCCCCAGAAGCUGCAGGGUCCCGGGCGAAGAGGACAACCUUCCCUGACAGAGGAGAGGGCCACUCUUUGGUCCUGGACAUACGAGGAGCUGCACCCCCCUUCUGGAACCUCCAAACCAGCUCUCAAAGCCAGGAGCUCUGGUGCCGCAUCUCAGCU
rnacentral:snRNA from 1 species